GAGACCUCAUAAGAUUUCUCCCUACUGAUCCUCUCACAGGUGCACCUCACACACAUAACACACACACCUUUAACAUUUUCUUGGAGAACACUCAUUUUCCUCUCAUAUAAAAGACCCUCACUCAGAUAAUACCUAGAGGACAAUAGAGGAGGAACCCUAGAGCUAAAAAAGAAAGAAAAAAAAACGCAGCAGCUGCUGCCCAUCUUCUUCCUCAAAACAACUUCAUCUUCCUCACUCAAUAACCAUGAAAGAUUCAUAGGUUUCACCUCCAUUUCUUUUUUGUUAAACCACAAAUUUCAGCCCCAAAACUAAACCCAAAAGCCAUCUAAAAACCAGAUCCAAACAUCCAUGAAAACCAGCCUUGAAGCUCCAGUAUUUCAGCCAUCAAAAUCAGUUAAAAAACGUACCAAAACAAGCUUGAAAAUAGCUCCGUUUUUCAGUCAAAACGACCUCUGAAAUAGCAGCAAAAACCAGCUGCAAACAGCCCUGAAAUCCACCUCUAACACCAUCCAAAACGAGCCAAAAGAUCUGCUGAAAUCAGCUAAAAGAAACCGGAACAGUCGCGUUUGAAUUUUUGUCGCCGGUCGAAGUCGCUAGUCUUGUUUCCGUUUGAGUCUCCUUCUGAUCCGUAUCGUGUUGCUUGAUUUUAUUUCAUUUUGGAGUAACGAUUGUUGAGCUGUAUCCAUUUCAUGAAGAAGGUCGUCUUCUCAGUCUAUUGACAGAAUAUUCAUAUCAAAGGUUCAUUUCCUCUAAUUUCUUGUUUGCAUUAGAUAAAUGCUUCAGUUUUGAUUUAGAUGUGUUUAAAUGUUUCAUUAUUGUUUCUUUUUUCUUUUUUUUUGAUUAGAAUUAGUUUCUCAAGUAACAAAAUGUUAGCUUCUCACCUAUGUUGUUAGAUUAAUAUGAUUUGAGAAAUCCAUGUUAGACUUGAACGUAAAUAAGUCAUUAUUUUAAAGGAAGUUCACUUUUUUUUCAAUAAUUUUUAUGUUAGCAUUUUAUUCCUUAGUUGAUGUUUUGUUUCUAUUUUGAAUUAUUUUAAUUUCUUGUUUCAUGAAACAAUAUAUGGCAUUAAGUUCAAAAUUAUUUUAGUUAUCUAAUAAAAGCUGAAAAAUUGAGCCUUACGCUAAAGAAACUGUGGUAUAUUAGAGCCAUUGGAUCUUAUAAAUUUAAAGUGAGAUUAAUGAGAUUUUGGGCUUUUAGAUUUAAUAAGUCACGGCAAGGAUUAUGAUACGGGCUCAAAUAUAAACUGGGUGAAAACUAAAAAUCUACACUGCAUCACUUUUGCCACAAUAAUUCCAUAACUCCACGGCCUUACAAUAAAGUUCAAAGUAGUUAGGAAAAUAAUUCAUGAACAUCGUAGUUUGCUUUAGGCGCGUAAUUAAAUCAUCACGGCUAUGGGUACGGUUCCCACGACAGGGUCGUGAUACAUAAUCUCCAAUUCGGGUAUGCAUUUCAUGUGACCCGACCACAACUUCGAACAUUAAUAAAAAAUAAACGUAUUGCAAAUUGCGAGUGCAUUUCAUAUGAUGCGAUUUGCAAUGUGCACCCAAACGGCAAGUGUAUGACAAUCGUAACUUGUUCAAGAAAUAAGUCCAUAAAUCCUAAAAGCGGUUUAAAAAAUAAUAAAAGCGAUUAUAAAUUUAAAAACGCACAACAGGUUUAAAACAUGUAGUAAAUCAGAUAAUUAGGCCAAUUUUAAUAGUUUAAGAGACCGUGAUCGAACCACGGAACCCGAAAAUGCCUAACACCUUCUCCCGGGUUAACAAAAUUCCUUACUUAGAAUUUCUGGUUCGCAGAAUUUUGAAUAAAGUCGAAAUUUCCUCGAUUUGGGAUUUAAAAUAAACCGAUGAUUUGGGACACUAAAUAAAAUAUUCCAAGUGGCGACUCUGAAAUAAAUAAAAUAAUCUCAUAUCGAUUAAUGUCACUUUAGUUGGAAAACUCCCUUAUAUAUCCUCUCGGGUGGUAAAAGGGGGGUGUGACAUCAAGGGUUUAGAUGAAAACCUAGGUUUUGUAAAAAAAAAUGAGAUUUGACCACGAAAAUGGUUAUGUAAUUUGGUAAAAAUCAUAUAUUUGACUUCAUAAGGUUAUAGGUAACAACUUUCUUCGAAAAUUUCAAGAAUCCGGGCACGUGGGCCCGGUGAUGAAUUUUACGAAUCUUACAUUUAGGGUUGGGUAAUCACCUUAAUAGUUGGACUAUGAAUUUUUGAACAUGUGUUGAUUAGUUUAUACAUUAUUUCAUUAGUUUUGGAUUGUUCCGCACCGAAUCGGAGUGAGGCGAGUCUCCUUUCUAACCUUGUAAGAUGGAAUUGUCCCCAUAGGUGAAUUAAUUGGAUAUGUGCUUCUAUUUGUGGGGGCUACGUACGCACGAGGUGACGAGAGUCUGUGCGUAGCUACUAUUAUGCUUAAGUCCGGGUAGUUUAGGACCCAAAAGCAUGCUUUACUUGCAAUAUUUGAAAUCUUGCUGUCAAUUUAAAAAUGCUUAAAACAUAUCGAACAUGUAAAUGAUUUCUAAAAGACUAUUCGUCGUUUCUUGAUUUUUAAAAGAGAAAUUGUCUUUUCUUGGAUAAUUUGCUCCUUGAUGAGUUCUUGAUUGACUGUUUGAAUGUGUUUAUAUAUUGUGGAACGGGCCGAACGCCUAGGUAGAUUAAAUAGAUGCAUCUAUGGUUAGCGUCAUUCGACCCUCUGGCAGUGCACAUUUUAAAUAUUGUUGGAUCGGACCGUGCGACCUCGGCAUGAUUUGCGCAUGCUUGUAUUGCUUGCCUUGAGAUUCAUAGAUGUUGAUAUUUAUUCUCCCUGGCCUGAGAUAAAUGUAUAAAUGAUGAAAAUGAAUUUGAAAAUUUUCUCUAAACGAAAGAAUUGGUUACUUGCCUCAUGCUAUUGAGUUUAAAAUCAUUUUAAUGAAAAUCCCCGAUUUUCUAUUUUAUUGGUAUUAUUAAUAUUGGACCCCUAGUAAGUGUAAAAGUCGACCUCUCGUCUCUAAUUCUUCGAGAUUAGACGGGAUACUUACUGAGUACACGUUGUUUUCGCACUCAUGCUACACUUGCUAUGCAUUUUUGUUGUAUUGGCACAUGUAUCUCUAGUGGCCUAGUGGACGUAGCAGCAUGGUUGAUACAGAGACUUAGGUGAGCUGCACUUCUCGAGACGGCCCGCAACCAGCAGAGUCUCUUUCAGAUUACUGUAUUUACUUUCUGUCCAAUUUGUAUUCUGGACGGUUGUUGUAUUAUAUUGUUUCCUAGAGAUAGUUUAUGCACUUGUGACACUGGGUUCUGGGAUGAUUUUGGGAUUAUUGAAUAUUAAGUUUUUUAAAGACUUCAUGGUUAUUUAUGUGAAUUUCAUUAUUUAUUGUUUAAUGUAUAAAGAAAAUAAUUUCAACAAAUACUAAAAUUGGAAUUUAAUUAACUUCUUGGUGUUGGCUUGCCUGACAGUGUGUCCGGCGCCAUCACGACCCUUAGUGGAUUUUGGGUCGUGACAAGAACUUUCUAGUUCUUUAAUAUUUACCCAUGUGAAUUUUCUUUUAUUUU
rnacentral:lncRNA from 1 species